AUCAGGCUGACCUACUGAUUAAUGGGGCUGAUGCACUGCCUGUCCCAAGAAGCCCCUGGCAUGUUUAUCAAACUCAGGAGUGUCUGACAGAACAAAGAACCGGGUAGAUCUACCUAUGUGCACAUCUAGAGACCAGAGGAGGACACCAGGUACGCUGCUCUAUUAGGACUCUUUUGAGACCGUCUCUUACUGAACCUGGAGCUAGACUGGCAACCAGUAAAAUCAGGAGAUCUUCCUGACUCAGCCCCACACAGCACUGGGGUUAAAGGUUUGCAUUUGAAGAUGUGAGAUCUCAGCUUCCUUCUGCUGCUGUGCCAUGACAGACUUUGAUUUCUCUGGAAAUAAAGCCCAAAUAAACCAUUUAUAAGUU